GGGGGCUUAGCUCAGCUGGGAGAGCGCCUGCUUUGCACGCAGGAGGUCAGCAGUAUGCGAGCGCUUG
rnacentral:tRNA from 1 species